GGUCGAGUAAGGGAAAAUAACUUUGAUCUGGUUGAGGUUGAACUACUUCCAGUUUGUCCUUCCUUCUAUGGGGUAGCUCCUCAAGAGAUCUCAAGAAAAGACUGGACUCUUCUAUGGU
rnacentral:lncRNA from 13 species